AUCAAGCUUUUCUUUCUCAAAUAGCAAUAUGUAGAUUCAAAGCAUUUGUGAUUUGUGUUUUUUGUUUGUUUCCUACUCUGAUGGGAAUUAUAUUUGUUUUUGUACAACAUGAGAAGAAUCAUAAGGGACAAAAAGUGAACAUUAAUUCUUCAGUUAAAAACAAUUUGAAGUUUAUUAUUUUAAUUAUAGAAAGCACCAGAAUCUUUUCAAUAAAUAUCAUUCAUAAACAUUUCAGUUUCACACUGCAGAGUGUGCAGGAAGAGACAUAGGGAUACAGUUGGAGUGGGGAAGGACAGGCAGUUGAGACUUCAGGAGAUUUCUCACUGUGCCGGAGUCUGAGCGGCCUGCGGCUCUGGGCUGGAGGAGCUGCUGCUGUGGAUAGUGCUUCAGUUUUUACCACUUACAGUGAAGCAGUGAUUUUACCAGAUGACUGCUACAGAUCCUUUAUUUCCCUUGAAAUACACCCCAAGUGUAUACAAUGACUUACAAAAAGUGUAUAAGGUUGUUUAAAAUUAGUGAUGCAGGAAUAAUGGGAAACAAGAAUAGCAGAGUAAAGGUAGAGGCAAAAAUGUAUGCUUUACCAAAGCACAUCACAUGACUGCAAAGGCCGACCACAGCUCUGUCACUGUUCUACCCAUAACUAAAGCAAGUAAUGAAAUCGCCCGCAGAAUAACAGUGCCAUUGUGAAGUAAUAGAGACCUCAGUGCUAUUCAGCUUUUUCCUGGAAGCUUUGGGGGAAGAGUCUCCUGUAGGAUCAUAAAAGGGAACAUAUAUUUGUAGGUUUUUUUUUUUAAAUCUUCUAUCUGUGAUAGAGAAAACUAGUUUUAUUUUUUAAAUUCUAAAGGUUUAUUUUUAUUAUUUCUUAACUUAUAUGUGUGAGUAUAUCCAUCUGAGUGCAGGAGUCAUUGAAGUGCAGAAGAGGGCAUUGGCCCCCUUGGAGCUGGAGUUCUACAUGGUGGUGAGCUGCUGAGUGUGGGUACUGGGACCCACACUCAGGACCUCUGAAAGAGCAGCACUCUUUACCUCUGAACCGCCUCUCCAGUGUUGUCCCUUUCCCUGCAUCUUUAAAAUAUUUCUUUUUAUUGCUUAAAAUUUUUAAUGUGAGUAUUUGUUUUGAGACAAGGUCAAGCUAUUCUUGAAUUCAUGAUUCUUCUGUCUUAGUCUUCCAAAUUUCUAGAAUUAUAAGCAUAUGCCACUGUGUUCAGUUAGAAGACAUCCAUUUGUGGUGAGUUAAGCUCUAGGCUAUUCACUAGGUCCCCUGGGAACCAGAGAACUCAAGGAAAUUAUUCAAGGCUAAGUAGUUACUGUCAAAGAUAGGGUUAUAUUCAAGUCUGUAGUCUCUAACACAGUACCUUUUUGCUCUUUGGUCCAUUAUUGGUGAGUCAGUAUAGGUGUAGCCCUAUUAUUUACCUUGUAAUUUUGACAGAGUGUUUAGAUAGGGAGGUAGAUAGAUAGACAGACAGAUCCAUCUUAAAUGGUUGAUCUGUCCAUGUCUUGCUUCUUUUGUAGAAUGGAUGUGUAAACAGGCCAGCUUCAUUGAAUUAUUGUGAAGAGAAGACACCCACGCACAAGGCCUGUGCCGUACACAAAGGAAGUCCUUGAUACCCUGUAGUUCUGUUGCAAUGCCAGCAAAAAGAAAAAUGCCAGACAUUAAACAGAGUCUGUAUUUGCUCUCUAGAAUUGAUCAGAUGAAAAGUUAAUACCUGUCCGUUUAUUAUAGUUACUAUAGACAUUCACCAUUUCAUCAGUGGAGUGAGUUUUUAGUUACCAUAUAUAUCCACAAAAUGCAAGCAUUCAGGAAAACCCAAAGUAUUUAAGCACAGUACACUAAGGAGAACAUGAGAGGUUUAAGUAGAUCAAACACAGAGCAGCCAGUGUGUUAGGAGAACUGAAAUUGUGCUCUGGGAAGAAUGCUGGCGCAACUGCAGAUGUUUAGUUUGGAGGAAGGUGAAGGAGUGAGAGGAGGGGAGGGCAAGGGUGAGGUUGUAGAAAUUGGAGGCGUUUGGAGGCUGUUACUAUAUGGGAGAUUUAUUUUUGGUGAUUGGUCACAGAACUAGAGUCUAUAGAUAAAAAUGGCCUGAAAACACAUUUUUGCCUCAGUUUAAGAAAAACUGCCAUUUGGAAUUGUCUGACAAAAGGAAUAGAGGAAGUGAGCUGUCUCAGGAGACAGACUGCACGCUGCAUGUUAUCAGAAGUGUUACAAUGAAUGGGUUCAUUUUGGAGGUAGAGUUGAAUGAAAAUACUCACAGAAACCAAUAAAGGCUGUUGCUGCCAAGCCUGAUGACCUGGGUUCGAUCCUCGGAACUCACAUGUCCUCUGACCUGAUUACUGCAGAGACUCAACAGUGAUGCUGUAAGGAUGUUAUUGUGUGUCAGCCUUCUACUUGUCAGUCCUGAGCAGUACUCUUUGUCACCCCUGCUGGUUGGUGUUUGUAGUGACUGUCACCCUCAGGGAACCAGGAAGUUUUAGAUUCAUAGGGUAGAAGGGACUUUACAAAUCAUUUAGUCUAGUCUAUACAUUUGUUUCCUGAGACAUUUUAAGGUGAGUUAACUUUUUAAAAGUAAAAUUGCAUUAUCUGGUAUCAGGAAAUUGAUGUACAGGGCCGGAUCAGUAGUCCAGUUGGUACAGUGCUUCCAUGAAACAAGAGAAACUAAAUUCAGUCCUCAGAGCCCACUUUAAAAACUGGGCUAAGGUCAGCUCAGUAGGCAAAGGUGCUUGCCACCAACCUGACAGUUUUAAUCCCUGGAACCUGCAUGGCAGUGGGAGAGAACUGACGGCCACUGCUUGUUGUCUGCUCUCCAAACUGUGUCCUGCAUGUGCACACCUGCAUGCACAUGUGCAUAAACAAGUGUAAAGAGAAAUGCUCAGGUGUGGUCCCAUACACUUUCAGUCUUCCUGCUGGGGAGGUGGGGACAGGCAGAUCUCUGGGUCCUUGUCAGCCAGACUUACCUGCUUAGUGAAUUGAAGGCCAAUAAAAGACCCUUACCCAAAAACAAGGUGGACAACACCCAAGGAACAGCACUGACCUCUGGCCUCCAUGCAUUUUCAUGCAUGCACACACACAUAGACAAAUAUACUCACACAAAGGAAACUGGUGAGUGGAAGCUGACUUGUGGAAAGUAUUCUUGGAAGGGAACAAGAGGAAGCAACAGCAGUUUGUAGGGUAAAACUUUUUUAAAUCAGCUGCUAGGUUUGGAAGGCCCUGUAGAUUCUGUUCUCGGACAUCUUAACAGUAAUGCCAGAGAGAUGACUCUUAUCUCAGUGAGUGGAAGAUUUUAUUCUUUCUUCUUGUGUGAUCUGUUUAGGACACUGGGAAUUGUAGUGAUGGCUGCCACGGAACAGAAAUCUUCCUCCAAGACUUUUUAGUUUCAUCAUAGCUCAUUAGACUGCACCCUCCCCCUGCUAUUUGUUAAAAUCGGUGCUACAACAAACUCAGUUAGGAUCAAAGUUCAGGCAUACACAUUGAUUCAAGGAUCAGAGUUCAGCAGGUAAAAGGCUAGCACCACCGUGGCAAAUCAAUGCUGCUUUAUUUUUGUGCCGUGCUGUGCUGAGCUGAGGGACAUUCUGUACUGGCAAGCCAAAUCUGGGUUAAGUCAGAACUGCAGUGUUAACUCCUCCAAGGGGAUUAUCUCUUGCAAUGUCCUUCUUGACUUAGUGUCUGUUAGUCAUCGAAGUCGUGGAAGUUAAGGUCUGUAAAGAGCACGUUGUGUUAGGGUGAGCACAUGAGAGACCCAGCCUCUGUUUAAAACUGCAG